AUUGAACGCUGGCGGCAUGCCUUACACAUGCAAGUCGAACGGUAACGGGCCUUCGGGUGCCGACGAGUGGCGAACGGGCGAGUAAUACAUCGGAACGUGCCCGAUCGUGGGGGAUAACGAGGCGAAAGCUUUGCUAAUACCGCAUACGAUCUACGGAUGAAAGCAGGGGACCGCAAGGCCUUGCGCGGACGGAGCGGCCGAUGGCAGAUUAGGUAGUUGGUGGGAUAAAAGCUUACCAAGCCGACGAUCUGCAGCUGGUCUGAGAGGAUGACCAGCCACAUUGGGACUGAGACACGGCGCAGAGUCCUAGGGGAGGCAGCAGGGGGGAACAUUGCACAAUGGGCGCAAGCAGGAUGCAGCCAUGCCGCGGGUAUGAAGAAGGCCUUCUGGUUGGGAAGUCAUUUCAGCGGGGAGGAAGGGAGGAAAGUUAAUACCGGGGCGCAUUGACGUUACCCGCAGAAGAAGCACCGGCUAAAUCCGUG
rnacentral:rRNA from 1 species